rnacentral:rRNA from 1 species
AUUGAACGCUGGCGGCAGGCCUAACACAUGCAAGUCGAACGAGUGGCGGACGGGUGAGUAAUGUCUGGGAAACUGCCUGAUGGAGGGGGCUAACUACUGGAAACGGUAGCUAAUACCGCAUACCAUCGGAUGUGCCCAGAUGGGAUUAGCUAGUAGGGGGGGUAAAGGCUCACCUAGGCGACGAUCCCUAGCUGGUCUGAGAGGAUGACCAGCCACACAGGAACUGAGACACGGUCCAGAUUCCACGGGGAGGCAGCAGUGGUGAAUAUUGCAGAUUGGGCGCGAGCCUGAUGCAGCGAGGCCGCGUGUAUGAAGAAGGCCUCCGGGUUGUUAAGUACUUUCAGCGGGGAGGCGUUAACCGCAGAAGAAGCACCGGCUAACUCCGUGCCAGCAGCCGCGGUAAUUC